rnacentral:rRNA from 1 species
AUUUGAAGAAGGUAUCUUUGGGUCUGGCUCUUGUCUWUGUUUCUUGGAACAGAACGUCACAGAGGGUGAGAAUCCCGUGCGAUGAGAUGAUCCAGGCCUAUGUAAAGUUCCUUCGAAGAGUCGAGUUGUUUGGGAAUGCAGCUCUAAGUGGGUGGUAAAUUCCAUCUAAAGCUAAAUAUUGGCGAGAGACCGAUAGCGAACAAGUACAGUGAUGGAAAGAUGAAAAGAACUUUGAAAAGAGAGUGAAAAAGUACGUGAAAUUGUUGAAAGGGAAGGGCUUGAGAUCAGACUUGGUAUUUUGUAUGUUACUUCUUCGGGGGUGGCCUCUACAGUUUAUCGGGCCAGCAUCAGUUUGGGCGGUAGGAGAAUUGCGUUGGAAUGUGGCACGGCUUCGGUUGUGUGUUAUAGCCUUCGUCGAUACUGCCAGCCUAGACUGAGGACUGCGGUUUAUACCUAGGAUGUUGGCAUAAUGAUCUUAAGUCGCCCGUCUUG